AACAAUAAGAGAGAACAUAUAUAUUCUCCAAACAACAGUUUUAAUUUCAUUAAGACAACUCUAGAGGCCAGUUUAACAAACCUCAAUUGCCUAGUUACCUAAAAUGAAAUUUCUCUUACAAUUAAACCAUUUCAAGCUAAAACAAAGGCCUCUAGCAGAUUACUCCAGACCAAGCUAUUCUUGCGAGAGAUUGAUGGCCAAAACGAUCACUUUUUUAUGGAAGUUCCGAAACCACCAAAUCCCUUCAUAACUGCAAUAGCAAGGUCUAUUUCAGGUUCCUCUUAUGCAGCCUUCUCUUUCUGGGUAUCAAUACAAAUACCAAAGCAACCAUCAAAAAAUUUGUUAGAGAAAAUGAGAAAGAUAGAAAGUUAACCAAAUUAGGUAAAUUUACCAAAUCUAACAUCCAGAAGUAAGCUUCACAAUUCCAAACCUUCUUUCUCUUUCUUCUUUUCUCGGCGUAGGCAUUUUCUUUUUUUUCUCUUUCUGCUAUUAUUUCAACAAUCGCUUCUCAAAAUCUACAAAAAGAAUCUUGAGGGAUGAAAGAGAACUGAAAUAUUUGGGUUCAAUAUCCUUUCUCCUCCUCCUCCUCUUCAUUCUUCUUUUCUUCUUUCUUCUGCUACUGUUAGUGCUAUUAUGAAAUAUCAGUUCAUGGAAUAAUUGCAAUAAAUAUGUUUAUUAGAUUAUUUAAAAAUUAAUUAUAAAUAAUUAUGUAAGUUAGUAGACAAUAAUUUGUAAAUAUUUCCACGUAUAUAAGUUAGUAGAUAAUGAUAAUUUUGUUCUUUUCACGUUUAUUGUUUUCAAAAUUUAUGAUUUAGAUACCGUUAGCAAUCUGAUUAUUUAUCUAGUAUGCUAAAAAGAUUUUUCAAAAAUUUUAGCUUAUGUAAUGCUGAAGUUUUUACAAAUGAACUAAAUGAUUUUAGCAUCUUCUGCUGAAGCUAAAAAGCUUUAUGACAAAACUAAUGAAUCUAGGACUAAAAAACUAGAGCUUUUAGUGCUGAAGUUUUUACAAAUGAAUUAAAUAACUUCUGCUGAAAUUUUUAAAAAAGCUUAUCCAUGACAGAAAAACUUCAGCUUAUUUAGUACUGAAAUUUUAUAAAUGAACUAAAUAACUUCAUCAUCUUUUGCUAAAGUUUUUGAAAAAGCUUAAUGAAAAACUCAUGAAUCGAGGACAAAAAAAAUUUCAUCUUAUUUAGUGCAAUUACAAAUAAAAAAUUCAGCAAAUAGAGAACAAAACUUCAGCUAUUAUGCUUAAGUUCGACAAUUACAAACAAAAUUUUAGCACAUUUAGUACAACAUACUUGCUACUUCAUACCCUUUUACUAGAAUGUUGAAAUUUUAUGUAAUUACCUUUGCUACUUCACCCCGAGGCUGCUUAGUUACUUCAUAUAUAUCCCAAAAUAUUGUCAUAAAGUACUUCCAUAAAAUGUUCAAUUAUUUAUAUUUUAUUUGAGGAGAU
rnacentral:lncRNA from 1 species